GAUGAACGCUAGCGGCAGGCCUAAUACAUGCAAGUCGAACGAUAUUAUCAAGCUUGCUGGACUUGUAAGUGGCGCACGGGUGCGUAACGCGUAUGCAACCUACCUUAUUCAGGGGGAUAGCUCGAAGAAAUUCGGAUUAACACCGCAUAAACUCACAGUUCAGCAUUGGACAAUGAUCAAAUAUUUAUAGGAAUAAGAUGGGCAUGCGUGUCAUUAGCUAGUUGGCGGGGUAAUGGCCCACCAAGGCGACGAUGACUAGGGGAUCUGUGAGGAUGGCCCCCAACACUGUGACUAAGACACGGACCAGACUCCUACGGGAGGCAGCAGUAAGGGAUAUUAGUCAAUGGAGGUAACUCUGAACCAGCCAUGCCGCGGGCAGGAAGACGGCCCUCUGGGUUGUAAACUGCUUUUAUUCGGGAAUAAACCUAUUUACGUGUAAAUAGCUGAAUGUACCGAAGGAAUAAGGAUCGGCUAACUCCGUGCCAGCAGCCGCGGUAA
rnacentral:rRNA from 1 species